UUGUUGUAUAAUACUUUUAUAUCAGCUGAUAGAAAAUUAAUUUGCACUUCUAACUUAACCACGUACAAGUCAUUAAAAAAAAAAGCUCACAUUUAUUAUAUUUAAAUGUUCUAGCGGAUUUUCAGCAAAUUUUGUUCGCCAAUCACCCUGAGUUAUUAGUAAAACAAACAAAAAAUGAGGCUAAAUAGUACAGUAAUACAAUAUAAUAGAACAAACAGUUAAUUAGGUGUUAUCGUGUCUUAAAUCAGGCACCCACUAUAUUAUUGCGAAAGCUUUGGCGUUAGGAAGGAUAAACUUAAUUAUUCCAUUAAUUACUUUUUGUAAAGCACCAUUAAACAUUGAUCCUUUGGUUUUUAACUUUUCAUUAUUUUGGUAGAAAGAGAAAAAUCUUACGUCAUACCAUACCACACC
rnacentral:lncRNA from 1 species